rnacentral:rRNA from 1 species
UACGGAGGGUGCAAGCGUUAUCCGGAUUCACUGGGUUUAAAGGGUGCGUAGGCGGGUAUGUAAGUCAGUGGUGAAAUCUCGGAGCUUAACUCCGAAACUGACAUUGAUACUACAUACCUUGAAUAUUGUGGAGGUUUGCGGAAUAUGUCAUGUAGCGGUGAAAUGCUCAGAUAUGACAUAGAACACCUAUUGCGAAGGCAGCAGGCUACACAUAUAUUGACGCUGAGGCACGAAAGCGUGGGGAUCAAACAGG